AGAGUUUGAUCCUGGCUCAGGAUGAACGCUAGCUACAGGCUUAACACAUGCAAGUCGCGGGGCAGCAUGGGGGUUGCUUGCAACCCCCGAUGGCGACCGGCGCACGGGUGAGUAACGCGUAUCCAACCUGCCCUUCACCACGGGAUAACCCGGCGAAAGUCGGACUAAUACCGUAUGUUGUCCAUUGACGGCAUCCGAUUUGGACGAAAGGCUUGGCGGUGAGGGAUGGGGAUGCGUCCGAUUAGCCAGACGGCGGGGUAACGGCCCACCGUGGCUACGAUCGGUAGGGGUUCUGAGAGGAAGGUCCCCCACACUGGAACUGAGACACGGUCCAGACUCCUACGGGAGGCAGCAGUGAGGAAUAUUGGUCAAUGGGCGUAAGCCUGAACCAGCCAAGUAGCGUGCAGGAUGACGGCCCUAUGGGUUGUAAACUGCUUUUAUGCGGGGAUAAAGUGGCCCACGUGUGGGCUUUUGCAGGUACCGCAUGAAUAAGGACCGGCUAAUUCCGUGCCAGCAGCCGCGGUAAUACGGAAGGUCCGGGCGUUAUCCGGAUUUAUUGGGUUUAAAGGGAGCGUAGGCCGCGCCUUAAGCGUGUUGUGAAAUCCGGGUGCUCAACAUCCGGCUUGCAGCGCGAACUGGGGCGCUUGAGUGCGCUGAAAGUAGGCGGAAUUCGUGGUGUAGCGGUGAAAUGCUUAGAUAUCACGAGGAACUCCGAUUGCGAAGGCAGCCUACUGUAGCGCUACUGACGCUGAUGCUCGAAAGCGUGGGUAUCGAACAGGAUUAGAUACCCUGGUAGUCCACGCGGUAAACGAUGGAUGCUCGUUGUCGGCCCUUCGGGUCGGUGACCAAGCGAAAGCGUUAAGCAUCCCACCUGGGGAGUACGCCGGCAACGGUGAAACUCAAAGGAAUUGACGGGGGCCCG
rnacentral:rRNA from 1 species